UCAUGAAGUGUAUCAACUUUUGGAUUGCAGCUUCUAGUUAGCUAUGGUAUUGAGGAUGUGAAGGGAAUCCUUCCAGAGGAUCAGGUUAUAAAGUCUGCAAAAUGCCAGGCGUUGGCUAGACUUCUUCCUUCCCUAAAACGAGAUGGUCAUCGUGUUCUUAUAUUUAGCCAAUGGACAUCAAUGCUUGAUAUCUUGGAGUGGGCAUUGGAUGUGAUUGGGGUUUCAUUUAGACGUCUCGAUGGAAGUACGCAGGUGACAGAGAGACAAACCAUAGUAGAUACUUUCAAUAAUGAUACUACAAUAUUUGCAUGCUUGCUCUCCACCAGAGCUGCUGUGAGCUGCUGUGCUGUGAUGUCGAGUUUUCCUGUGUUGAUGUGAUGCGCUGCUGUGUUGGUGUUGCUGUGUUGCUAUCUGCUUCCUUUUGCAGUGCUGUGUUGCUGGUUUCUGGGGUGUUGUGAUGCUGAGUUGAUGUGCUUGCUCUGCUGCUUUGGUGUUGCGCUGUGUUUUGUUAUUUUUGUAGCCUGUUGAGCUGCUUAGUUUGGGCUGCUUAAUUUAGUUAGAUGUUUGUUGUUUAUAUGCUUCAUUAAAACAGGUUUUUGGAGUAUUAGAAGUAAAUUUCUGUAACUUUAUAUAUAUGUUAGUGUUUAUAUAUCAAUUUAAGUGAAAAAAAUGCAAAAAAAAA